GUUUCUGUAGUGUAGUGGUUAUCACGCGUUUGCCUCACGCACAAAGGUCCCUGGUUCGAGAAACCGGGCAAAAACA